rnacentral:pre_miRNA from 1 species
GAUUUCAGACAAAAAACUCAUGAACACAAAGUUUGAUCUACUCAUUGUAAACUUCAUUUCAUAUUCAGGGUGUUUUUGCAUCUGAGCAAGUGAUGAUAAUUUUGUUCUCAAAUUUUACACAUCCAUCUCAUAGUUCAUGAGACUAUGAGAGAGUUGAGUAGAAUUCGAGAACAAAGUUAUCAUCACUUGCUCGCAUGCAAAAACACCCUAAAUAUGAAAUGAAGUUGACAAUGAGUAGAUCAAACUUUGUGUUUAUCACUUCUUCAUUUGAAAUC